rnacentral:lncRNA from 1 species
CUACUUUGACAUCUGCGGAUCCGAGCCUGACUCACCUACUAACGAAGGCAAGCCCCGGUGCAUGCAACCCCUUUCCUUGUGUUUUUAAAUAAUUUUCGCACACUUUAAGUCUAGUGAAAUGUGCAUUAGGUUCAUAGGAGUUGCUUGGAACCCUUUGAUGCAUUGCUUUCCUUGAUAUCCAUACCUUUAUAGAUACUUCUGUGAAGUAUCAAAAUAUGAUUUACAAAAAUGCUUAGCCCUGCUUAGAUCUUGUGGAUAGAGGUUGUCCUUAGCCUAGCUCGAGAAAGGAUGGCUUCUACCUGCAAGAAUAUUUUCAUUUGGAGCAAUGGUGGGAUCUUACUGCAAAGUUCCCUGUGAUGCUCUUUUCAUCCUAAGGAACAGAAACAAUCCUAAGGAUGGAAAUACUUAAAUUGAGACUUGGGUUAGGAACAUGUGAUGUUCUACCCAGGUUGAUUAAGGAUUGAAUGCGUAUGUAGGCGUGCUGAUCGAGGACCCUUUAACUGGUCACAUGCCUCGUCAUGGGUAAGCCUUGCCUCGGGCAGACUAAGGCCAGAAUAAGAUAACACGAAAUGGGCGUGGAGCGGUGGCGAGAGUAGCGUGUACCCUCCGUGGCAAGAGGCUGGACGGUGGUGUAUCUGUGCUCUCGGUUUGCGUGAACCUGAUCUGGUCUUAAGAACCCCGGUGGCGGGUUGACAUAUGCAAGGGUUAAGUGCUACAUAUGUCGUGUGAUUGGAGAUCCUCAGCUGAGUAUAAUCGAUUCGGAUCGCCGUACCUUCGCGGUUAUGAAGACUUGGUCACUUCCCUACAACCUAAGUCAGGAUGUGAACAUUAUGAAUAAAAAGGAUGUUGUAUUGAUGAGAUGAUGAAAUUAGACUAGAUGCAAACAAUGUCUAUUAAUAUUCAAUCUGGCGUUAAAAUAUUGAAAGUAAGGACUCACUUUAGUAAGCUAUUUCUGCAAAAGUAUCUAAGUUGAUUCUUGCUAAAGCCUCUCCUUGAUUCCUAUUUAUCCAGCAUACCCUCGAGAGUCUUUUCCUUAGUCGGGUAAGACUUGCUGAGUAAUUCCAUACUCAGGGUCUAUCCCUCCGUUGUUUUUAGGUGAGGAAGCGACAAAUUUUUGUUGCUUUUGCUCCAAGGUGGUGUCAAAUGAAGAAAAACAAGAGUGAAGAUGCGGGAGGACGUGGUCCUCCAUAAGAACCUUUGUUUGAUAGUUAUCGGGAGGAGUUUUUGCCUCCCUUGGUAUUGUAAUAAUACUACCCUGCACUCAUUUUAUAGCUCUGGUCUGUAAUAAAUAACUUGAUCUUACUUUCUAAAUAAAAUGUAAGUUUAUGUAAUCGCUUCCGCAUUUCUUUAUCUCCGAUGUUCUGUAAUGUCUGCAAGAUGGGUGAAACGUUCCUGGUAAGGUAAGAAAGAAGAUACCGAACUUGUCGAGUGAUUCAGGAACAUCUACAGGGUUGUCUGAUGUCUGUUGGACAAGGACAACUGUAGGUGGGCCUAAUGGCUCAGGAGGUUUCGUCACAGCUGGUAUCGGAGCGUAGCCCUUCUUUGCAGAUAUUAUGAGGCAUCUUCAAAAGGAUUUUCUAAAAGUCUUACCUAGAAACUCUCUUCCUUUCUUACCUAAGUAUUCUGAAGAGUCUAUCUUAAAGACCAGGUAGUAAGAGUGCAACAUAUAGAAGGUUGAAUCAACUAAGGUUGAUUCUGUAAUUACACAUGCAUCAUGCUAAGAAUUAUACUAAUAAAAUUUUCCCCCUUAGAAAGAUGCCGCCGCGCACAAGGAAAACGGCGCGCAAGUCAACUGGCCCAAUCGGUGUGCCCCGACAUCAACUUGCCCCUCGACAUGAGGAUAGUAGCAGCGGGAGCAAUGAUCCUAUCGGGAUCUAGAAGCACAAGUCGAAUUGCUUCAACCAGAACUCCGUCACAGGAAUGAUCUAUGGGUCGCGGAUGCAGCCAUCCGCUACUUGCAAGACCAACUCACGAAACGAGAUCUAGCGCUCGAUUGGGCGGUUAACUCUCGUCCACUUGCCUGGGCUAAGGAAGCCAAAGCUCGAGCCUGCGUGGAGGAGCUUAGCGUAGCCAUGGAUAACUUGCAGGUCUGUUAUAAUACACUACAUGAAGAAGUUCAUGUGAUGUAUUCGCAACUGCACCCCAACGUCCCUGUGAAUCCUGUCGGGAUGGAAGCCGGACCUUCUCAUGUAGCGGGAGAAGCACUUGAUGGUGAACUGGACCUUUUCAGGCCCCCUCCCUCUACGAAGUUGGUUGAUGAAUGGUCUUCUACGCCCAACAGUAAAGCUACCAAAAGUGAAAAGAAGUGGCUUACCAAGUGUCCGUAACAUUGGCCGGACGGGACUUUCCUACAAAUAUGAUUGUUCCAAAAGGCCAAGACAUAGAUGUCAUCUUGGGCAUGAACUGGUUAGCCCAGCAAAAAGCAAUUCUCAACCCUGAUCUGAGAACCAUCAGGUUGAGUUAUGACCAAUAGAGAGUUGGUGACUUGAUUGCCUAAACCCAAGAAUUAGGCUAUAUUAGUAUUUAGUGAACCAUGACCCACCCCAAAGUUGAAUUUUCUGAUAUCACUCCAUGACCAAACACGUACAAAUCAAUGCCUAGAUAAUUUCUUUGUCGGACCUAAAGUGUACCUAGACUUCAAACAAGGAUCUCAAGUCAUGUCUCCUCCUAGAGCCAUUCUGUUGUGCAGUUGAUACAGGUUGCGGUCUCUAGUAUAGUUGGUCUCUCCUUGCGGAUCGCCAUGUUACUUUAUUAACCCAACCUAGGAAAGACAUGUCCGACCAUUUUCCUUGAAUUUGAUGCCUUUGGUUUCUUCCUAUCUAUCGAAGGCAUACCAACUUAAUCCUUGACCUUGUGAUCUCUAUGAUGGGCAUAGAAAUAUGCUUGUGGCUGAAUUAACAGUCUCCCAUCGUACUUCUUUCAUCAAGUUUAGAUUAUGGCCAUGCCUUGGGCCAUGAUCUAUUUGGCGCUCUACUUGUAACCAUCUUUACUGGUGGAGUAUCUCUUUGUGUAUAGUCACCCUUGCUCAAUCUAUUGGUGUCGCAUAAGAUUUCUUAUUGGUUAUGUCUGGUAAUGGUGUUAUGACUAAAAUCGGUGACACCGCGCUGAAACCGAGGGCCUCCGGUGGGUGCACACACAUGGUUGCGCUACUUGGCACGCGCUAGUAUCACAGUUAGUAGUCAUAAUCCAUUAUAAGACUAUAUUGAUAUGUUAUCUCUACACAAAUUAUUCUUACCACGUGAGAUUCAGUAUUGGUGUCAGUUUUGUAAUGGUGUCAUGGUUAAGGACUUAUGGUACUGCAGCGAAACUGAGAGCCUCCUGUAAAUGUGCACACAGGAUUUUGCUGCUUGGCGCAUGUCGGUAUCGAGGUCUCUAGUCAUGAUCCAUUAUGGAAUUACACUGAUGUGUUAUCUCCCAUUGACCUUUCCUUGAAACAAUUUCUAUGUUGAUUGUGAAGAGAUCCAGCAACCUCUGUCAUUUCCGUUGGAUCAAAAGGGCAUACCACUUUCAUGUGUGGUCUUAUUUCUUUUGAUCUUGGUAGUGACUACCCACACAAGUUCCCUUUGCAUCCUUUGUGUAAAGGUGAAGCCUUGGAGCUUUUUAGUGUUGGACAACAACUGAUUAGCUCCCAAAAUGGAGAUCUGUUUUCCCUGUUGUUGAAAUGCAGGAGUUUAUUCAUUCGCUCUCUUAUUUAAUCCAUGUAUUCCCUAAACAAGUGGAUAAUUCAUCUCGCAUGAGAAAAACGAAUGAACAACUUGACCAAAUAGAUUUUUACCCACAUACAUAACCUCUUGUUAACAAAGAGUGAACUCUCAACCCUUGGCUUACCAAUGGUAUGGAGAAGAUUUGCUUAAUGUCAAAAGUAGUUCAACAAGUUGGUUUUGACUAACUUGUAACUGCAUUUGAAACAAAGGUUGAGUUUAGAGAUCGUUUUAUCGAUUUGCCUGAACUCACUUUGGUCUAACCCACCCUAAAGAAAGUACUUACCAAAAAUCAAAUUAAGUCGACCAGUAACCACCUAAUUAUCGCUCAAGUCACGCCUCGACCGCCUCACGCUUGCUUUUCCUGCGUAUGUGAUCAUGCCGAUCCAUGACUAGUGCUGGAUAAAAUGGACUGGUUGCAAAGUCCGCAUCUACAGAUCCCUCCGCUGCUGAUUUUCCUGAAUCUAUAUCACCUUUCGUGGACUUGGAUUCCUUGGCUAACACGAGUUAACCGUGAUGUUAUUCGACAUUCACACCCAUCUCGUGUGCUAUGAACUUACUGUAACCACUUGUUGGUAAACCUCUUUCUGUGUGUUUUACCCAAGAUGGUGCAUUUGAUUCUGUUUGGGUAAAAUUGCGUAAUUGCCGCCCGCCCAACAGACUCAGAUAGUACAGUGUCAUCAGAAGAAGCAAAUUGCACACAUGGAACCUUAUGUGUUCUUCUGGCUGACAUCGUCUCUAUUAGUGGGCAAAGAUGAAAAUUGAAAUUGCACGUUAUGUGGCUGAAUGUGACACUUGCAGACGUGUCAAGGCUAUAUACCUGAAGACUGCUGGUCCAUUACAAUCUUUGCCAAUCCCAACAUGAAAAUGGGAAGAUAUUAGUAUGGACUUCAUUGUGGGAUUACCUAGGACUACAAAAGGGUAUGAUUCUAUCUGGGGUUAUAAUUGAUCGGCUUACGAAAAUUGCUCAUUUUCUGCCAGUCAAUACAAAUCAACCGGUUACUAUCUAUGCCCAAUUGUACAUUGCUCGCAUUCUCAGUUUGCAUGGUGUUCCGAAGACUAUAGUGUCGGAUCGUGGACCUCAAUUCGUAUCCAAAUUUUGGGAAGAACUUCAUAGAUCCCUGGGUACUAAAUUGCUCCACAGUUCGGCCUAUCAUCCUCAAACCAGUGGGUAGACUGAGAGGGUCAAUCAAAUACUUGAAGAUAUGCUGCAGACAUGUGUUCUGGACUUCUCAUAGAAAUGGGAUGAAUGUUUGCCCUUAGCGGAAUUUUCAUAUAAUAAUAGCUAUCAAGAAAGCAUCAAGAUGGCACCCUUUGAAGCUUUAUAUGGACGACGAUGUCGUACUCUGCUAAAUUGGUCUGAACCUGGUGAAAGGUACUUCUUCAGGCCUGAUAUGGUGAAAGAGACCGAAGUAAGAGUUCAAAGAAUAAUUCAUAAUAUGAAGAAAGCCCAAGCUCGUCAGAAGAAUUAUGCAGACAAACGGAGAAUGCCUUUAUAUUUCCUUAAGGGAGACUAUGUCUACUUAAAGGUUUCACCAAUGAAGGGCGUAUCGCGUUUCGGGGUUAAAGGAAAGCUUGCACCACGAUAUAUUGGUCCAUUCCCUAUACUUGAAAGAUAUGGGCCAGUGGCAUACCGACUUCAGUUACCCGAAACCUUGUCUGCUGUGCAUAAUGUGUUCCACGUGUCUCAAUUAAAGAAGUGUCUUCGGGUUCCCGAUUGAACCAUUGACAUAACGGAUGUUGCCCUAGAACCAGACUUGACAUAUUCUGAGUAUCCUAUUCGAGUCUUGGAUCAAAAGGACAGAAUUACCCGAAGAAAAACUCUCAAGUUUUACAAGAUACAGUGGAACCGGCAUUCCGAAGAUGAGGCUACGUGGGAAACUCAAAACUUUUUAGAUAAGAAUUUCCCAGGCUUUUUAGCCUCUUGUGAAUUGUAAAGCCUCUAUAACUGUUGUAAUAAAAGGAGUAAAUUCCCAAGCCACCCCUGCCUUGUACCAGAAAUAAGGAAAUAAAAGUAUGUCGCGUUUCCUUCUCCAUUACCUACCCUAGGACUUUUAAUCUCGGGACGAGAUUCUUUUGUGAGGGGAAGGAUGUAACACCCCUGGUGUUACUGUAACUAAAACUUGAGCAUGGCAUCAUAAGCAUUGGCAUUGCAUAUGUUUGACACACCUAGAGUGCAUUCACUAGGUAAAAAUUUCAAACAAGUUGUAUUGUUAUAGCACUUUGCAAAUAGAACCCUAGAUAGGGGACUUAACCCUAAAUGGGGAUUAAAGGGGUAAAACCUAACCCAAGUUGAGAAAACCUAAAAGCUUUAAGGGAAAUAGUAUAAAAUGUCCCCAAAAAUAAAGUUGAAUCACAUUUAUACCCCUGGGAUACCAAAAACCCUAAUUGGAACCCUGGAAAACCCUAAAUCCAAACCCUAGGGGCUUAUGUGCAAAAUUAGUCCACUUUUGGACGAAAGUGCAAAAACUAAGUUAAAUAGGUACCUUAAGUCAAUUGGGUCACUCAUAUGUGAAUUUACAAGCCAAACCCUAAGUUUUGGCCUCAUUUGCAAAAAAGACCCUAUUUGAGGUUUUAUACUAAGUCUGAAAAACAGUGUUAUGGGCUCAACUUUUGAGCCUUGUAACUUUUAAAUCAUAGGGUUUUUGCCCUAGGUCACCACAUCAAUGUUGUAAAGCAAACAAAGGAGAACAAUUUUGCUGAAGUGGGCAAGCCAUGUUCUUGUGAGAAAUUUGGAGAUAAUCAUGCUCAAACUUUGGCUGUCAGGCUGAUUAAGUCUGAAAAUCAGACUAACAGUGGACUCACAUCAACUUCAAGACCAAGUUCAUGCAUGAUCUGCUGCCUUUUUGUGACAACACCAUAUAGCAAAGUUGUAGUUGGUAUAAUGCUCUACAAGUUUGCUGCAGAGUUAAACUUGUGUUGUUAUUAGAAAUUAAGAGAAAAUUGGGCUCUAAACUUGAUUGUCAGGCUGUCUGAAUACCACUCUCCAUGGUACAGUGCUAUCAGGGGGGAUCAGAACGCCAGCUCAGUCAUCUCACCGCCGAUGAAGCCUCGUCGUGAUUCGUGUCACCGGCGCCAGGAUUCGCGCUCGGGGUGGAUUGAUAACGUCGCGGGGAUAAGGAUCCUCGCCGACGGUGAGCUGGAGGUCACUCUGGUGACUCACCGUGGCUCCCCUUCUGCUUUACGGCUGGAGGCAGUUAGCUCGCCGGUGAACCGCCAUUGCUCGGUUGUGCGCCACGUAUCCGAGCACUUCUGUCGCGUCACUGUGCCUCUUUACAGCCGUUAAAUCAACGCCGGUGAGCUCGCCACGACUGUGGACACGCACCCACGGCACCAGAGUUCUUUCCCCUCUCCGGCCGCCAGCACCCCUCGGCCGAAUUCGUCACCGACCCUCGAUGCGCCUAUAAAUUGCGUGUGUCACUAGCUCCGUAGGGUAGUAAGCUGUCCAGCCACCACGAAUCAGCCUCGGUCAUUCACUAGAAUCCACGAAUUUGGAAUUCUCCCCAAAACUGUUUCCGCCACCGUAGAACCAAGCUCGCCGUGGCCAGCCACUUCCAGGUUCAUCCAUGCCCUCUGCUACCUUGUUUCAGCAUUAGUAUGCUUCCCUGAUGCUCAUCCAUCCACCCAAUUAAGCUAAACCGCCACCAAUCGCCGGGAACGCGAUUGAUUACCCAUGGUGCCCGCUGUCACCAUGGACAGAGCAGGGUAGAUCGUCGUUCGUGAAAUUGGUUGAGGGGAAAGGUACGGUAGGCAUCUAAUUUGGUCCCUGUCGCUUUGGGGAUCCAGCCAUGGCGUUGGCCGGCCGGAAUUGGCUCGCCGGGGUGCGGCGAGGGCUGUUCCUCGUCGUGGACCUUGGUCUGCGAAGGAAUAGAAGUUUAAGGGCCUUAGUGCAAACUGUCAGUGACUCAUAAGCAUAGUAACUGAACCCAACUUCCAUUAGCCAAAACCCCGAGGACCUCUGCGCAAAGUCACCUCGGGCGCGCGUGCGCGGGCGCAUUUCUGCUGUAGUUGGGCCGACUUGGGCUGAUUUCGGCCCGAGACUGUUCAUUAAUUUUCUUUUUCUUUUACUAGCAAGCUUUGGAAAUCUGUCAUAAAUUGUAGAAAAAUCUUAAAAUUGUCAAACAAAUUUUCCUAGACUCCUUAUUUUCCCUAGUAUUUAAUAAAAAUAGUUUCAUGAUUUUUAGUUUAAACAGGGAAUUUUAGGGCAUUUAAAAUAGCUUAAAGAAAUAGUUCUGGAAUUUUAGAGAAUUAAUAGUAAUGCCAAAAAUGUUCAAACUUUUUAUAUGAACUUAAAACAUUAAUUAGAAGCCAUGGGUAGAAUUUGGUUUGAUUUAGACCAUGUUUGAUAACUAGAACCCAAAACCCUACCCCUGCCCUUUAAACUCCUUUACUGACUCCGGAAACCCUAAGUUCUCGGAGUUCCGUGAAGGAAAGUUGUAUUCAAGACCUAGAUAAUAAAUCUUUAUUAUCUUUGCACUCUCAUGAGCAUUACAUGGCAUUCAUUCUUAUAUAUAUACCUAUAUGGUUAUAUUUAGAAAACGAAGAAGAGAUUGAAGUGACUGAAGAGAAGACACCACCACCUUCGGAAUCUCAGG